rnacentral:tRNA from 1 species
GCCGACGUAGCUCAGCGGUAGAGCAACUGAUUCGUAAUCAGUAGGUCGUAGGUUCAAAUCCUAUCGUCGGCU